rnacentral:lncRNA from 10 species
GUUUUGCGGAAAUGCAGUUUCAGGCUGAUAGCAGCUUUGGAGUAAAGCCAAGGAUCGCCCCCUUCUCAGAUGAUCUGCUGCUCACCUCAGAUACCUACAGAGACUCUGCUGGUGCCUGUCAAAGGUGCUGUCACCUCCCACUCCCACAAAAAGUGCCGCUGCUCUCUCUCAUCUGCUGAAGGUAGCACUGCUGGAAGUCUUGUAUGGAAGUGGAAGAUCUGAUGUCUUUGCUGAAUGUAUUAGCACCUCUGGUUGGCAAGGUUGCUAGUGUUCCACUCUGCUGAUGCAGGCACUGGUGGUGGCAUUGAUGUGAUAAAGACUUCAAAGCACCAAUAGGUUCUCUACUGAAGUGGAAAGGAUCUUUUUAUGUCUUUUGUCUUAUAUUUCUACCUGGGCUCCAAAGUCAUGCUUCCUGGUGUUGCCAGUGAGCAGGGAGAAUUUAGUGAAGAAGCUUUUUGCAGAGAUGACUAGCUGUCUGCUAAAAUUCCAUUAUGUAGAAUAAGUGCCAAGAAGUAGCCACACACACAUUAAAAAAAAAUUCUGAGCCCCUGUACCCCACCUUUGCAUUUAGUGGAGUCAUAGGACUAGCUCACACCCAUGUGAACAGAGCUGAUGUGUCUCAUUUCUGGGCCAAGGAGUUUAAGAAGUGGGGUUUGUCUCCUUUACAUUCUCUUUUUCCUCUUCUGCCAGCUCUAAUACCUCAAGGAAUGUCAGAAUAUGGGACAGAAGGAGCCAGGACAUCCACCUUGCACUGUUCUGGGAGGAAGAAAUACAUUUUCUGGCCUGCGCAGGGUGGCUCACGCCUGUAAUCCCAGGACUUUGGGAGGCUGAGGUGGGCAGAUUGCCUGAGCUCAGGAGUUUGUGACCAGCCUUGGCAACACAAGGAAACCCCAUCUCUACUAAAAUACAAAAAAUUAGCCAAGUGUGGCAGCGCGAGCCUGUAAUCCCAGCUACUUGGGAGGCUGAGGCAGGAGAAUUG